CAAAGAGAACGGCACGUCCGGCCUCGGCGAUGCUUACGCGCGGAGGCCCGCCUCUGAGACCCAGAGCGGCGUGGUGCCAUUUGGCACCGUGUGUUAGUGUGAGGGGGCAAACUCCCGAAGUCUGGUUUGUUGAUUACCCACUGCGGGGUCUUGCACACGUCAGAGUUCGCAGCAGCCUAAAAGCACAAGCUCAAAGGAAUCACAGCGUCAUCUCUGGGCAAAAUUAGUGGGUGAAGCAGCCUAUGGUGUACGCCCAUCUCCUGGUGGCAACUGUUCUCUGACACUGCGGUAGAGACAAGUUCUUACUUGAGCCAAGCUCAUAACUGCGAAAACACUCUGGUCCACCUCUUCAAAGAAGCUGGAAACAACCAGGGAGCCUUGGAGAGGUUCCUGCAGAAGUGGGAGUGUCCACUGCAGUUACUCUGUUUUGCUUCAUGACUGUCCAUUGGGCGUCUUACAGUCACAGCCUGUGAUCAACCGCAUCUGGACACAAUGGAAAGGGCUGAGCUGUCCCAGAGAUCCUGGACUUUCAAGCUGGAUGCAGCUGGUUGCCUCCCUUGGUGAGGGAGUGCGUUCUAUAUUUGGGAAGAAAGGUUGGUGUUUGGUGGCCAGCAGGGCGACUGUGGUGGUGAUUGUCAUUUCCCACCCAAAACCUUCCUCUAUAGUCAGAAAAUUAUAGUUAGGAUGUGGUUACUCAGGUGGGGCCCGUAUUUCCCAGCUCCUUUGCCCCCAGAGUGCCUACUGUUGAAAUUCUCACUGGUGGAAUGUGAACAGAAAUGCCUUGUGCAACUUUUGCCUCGCUUGUUAAGAGAAGAUAUUUGUGCCUGAACUGCUCUGACCCUUUCCUGCUGUUUCCUGCUGGCAACAACUAAGCAACCUUGGAAGCCCUAUGUUGAGAUGAAAAGCUGGACUUCAACGUGUGUUCUUACGUGAGUGAGAAAUUAAUUUGUAUUUUGUUUGAGCCAUUGCAUCUUAGGGUCUUUUUGUUAAACAGCUUGCAUUCCCCUGUUCACCUGUGUUGGACAUCAUGUUUCUUGUAUCCCACACAGGAUGACUUUCUUAGUUUAUUCCUUUAUUUUGGUGGAGCCCCUUGCCUUCUUCCAUUUGCUUUUGUGGAAAGUGUGCUCGACAGGUAAGUAUUAUGAGCUGAGUUCCUUUGCAUUUGAUCUAUUUUUAUCCUUCUGGAAACUUUAAGGAUCUUCUGUUUGUCUCCAGUGGUCUGGUUUGUGUCUAUUUUCAACUAUUGUACUGGGAACCCAACCCUUUCAGUCUGGAAACUUGCAUUCUUCAUUUGUGGAAAUGAAAUGUUUUUCUUAAUGAUUCCCUGUUCUGCAUUUUCUCUGUCUCUAUUAUUUGCAGAACUUUUAGUAUUCAGACAUUGGAGUUCCUUGCCUUGUACUCUACUUUUCUUACAUCUCUCCUUCUUUCCAUGUGUGUAUCUGUGGAGGAAGUUUACUUUUUGGGAAAUUUCCUUGUAUUUAUCUUCCUUCUACUGACUUUCUUGUUACCUGAAUGUUUCUUUUCUUUUUAAAAUAGCACCCUGGGGGAGGGGCAGAAGAUGGCGGCGUGAGUAGAGCAGCGGAAAUCUCCUCCCAAAACAACAUAUAUCUAUGAAAAUAUAACAAAGACAACCCUUCCUAGAAUAAAGACCAGAGGACACAGGACAAUAUCCAGACCACAUCCGCACCUGAGAGAACCCAGCGCCUCGCGAAGGGGGUAAGAUACGAGCCCCGGCCCCGCGGGAGCCGAGCGCCCCUCCCCCCAGCUCCCGGCGGGAGAAGAGCAGGCAGAGCGGGAGGGAGACGGAGCCCAGGACUGCCGAACACCCAGCCCCAGCCAUCCGGGCCAGAGUGCAGGGCCCUGGAUACUAGGAAAACAGGGCAGCAAGAACA